AUUCACGGUCACACCUAGGCGAAAAUACCAGUUCCCGUCCGAUCACUGCAGUCAAGCGUCUGAGGGCUUCGUUAGUACUAUGGUUGGAGAUAACAUAGGAAUCCGGGGUGCUGUAGGCU
rfam:Schizosaccharomyces cryophilus OY26 unplaced genomic scaffold supercont4.7, whole genome shotgun sequence.